rnacentral:rRNA from 1 species
UGGGGAAUUGUUCACAAUGGGCGCAAGCCUGAUGACGCAACGCCGCGUGGGGGAUGAAGGUCUUCGGGUCGUAAACCACUGUCAGGAGGAAAGAAAAGUCGGCCGGAUAAUACUCGGUCGACCUGACGGUACCUCCAAAGGAAGCACCGGCUAACUCCGUGCCAGCAGCCGCGGUAAUACGGAGGGUGCAAGCGUUGUUCGGAAUUACUGGGCGUAAAGCGCGUGUAGGUGGUCGAGUAAGUCGAAUGUGAAAGCCCCGGGCUCAACCCGGGAAGUGCAUCCGAAACUGCUCGACUAGAGUCCCGGAGAGGAAGGCAGAAUUCCCAAUGUAGGGGUGAAAUCCGUAGAUAUUGGGAGGAAUACCGGUGGCGAAGGCGGCCUUCUGGACGGUGACUGACACUCAGACGCGAAAGCGUGGGGAGCAAACAGGAUUAGAUACCCCCGUAGUCCCUGAGCGGGCUGGCAAGGCGCAU